GCCGACGUAGCUCAAUUGGUAGAGCUCCUGAUUUGUAAUCAGGAGGUUGCGGGUUCAAGUCCUGUCGUCGGCUCCA
rnacentral:tRNA from 1 species